UGAAUCAGAGACUGUCUCUGUGAGAGCAAGCCUCAUGGCUCCACAAGGGCUGCAACACAGGUGUGGAAACCUCUAGGGCUACAAUCCUAUACACCAGAGAUCAAAAGCUUCUUAUGGGCCAGGCAUUCCUGGUCAAACCAUUGUUUGUGAAAAUUGAAACCCUUGUUCCCAUUUGAAGAGGAAUUUACAAUCAGCCAAGGCUGGAGACCAACCGGAUGGUGUGCAGCUGUGCUUCACUUCCUGCGCCGGCAGUGGGAGCCGCCCAGACACCUCACCAAUGGGCAUCCUGCACAUCUUCCAGCUUUGGAGAGACCCAGUGCCUACAGGAGGAAGGGGACCACCACUGCCCAGGGAAGAAGGACAGCCAUCUGCUGUUGCUGCUAGGUUGCCUGCCUGCCUGUCAGCUGGCUGGCUGGCUGGCUGGCUUGUUGCUGCUGCUCAGCUACCACCACCACCCUCUCCCCAUUGGACUUCUGCUUUGCAGGCUGAUACACCCUGCAGGACCAGGCCCUCACAUACUCAGCCAGCUGUUGCUGAUAU